CCAGCUGCCUCUCAGAACAAGACCUGAAUGCUCACCACUCCUUGGCACAUUAACUUUUGCUCUGGAAAGGAACUCUGGUCUGAGGAAAGGAGCCGCAGUGACAUUCACUUGUGAGAAUACACACAUCAUGGAGUGCAGGCUUUUGGACAAUCUGCUGGUUUCCUGGAAAUGCCUCAGCUAAUCAUGAGGUCCGGCACUUCAGCACCAUCUCAUGAUCACAGCAAGUUGCCUGCACUGUGAUCCACAUUCAAAUGAGCAGGAGGAGAUGCAGAGAGCCUCUGACUCUGUCACUGUAGUCCCUUGUGGUGCAUCAGUGGCCUUACAGCAAGAUGUGCUUCAUCACAAUGGACCUGGCUGGCAGCCACUGGAAUAUGCCUGACCUUGGUCACCAUCACUGGACACAAUACUGACCUGAGGACUGAUUUCCAUGCUUGACCUCAGACCUUCCUCAUCCCUCAAGACUUGCCCAGCAACCUGGACCCUGGAUGUUGUGCCAGGUGUGCCCUGCUUGCCUCACUCAGGUGUUGUGGCUGGUCCCAGCUGUCCUGCUGGCCGUGUUACUGCAGCUGGCUCUUGGCCACUCACCCUCAGGGAGCAGCUGUCUCCACCAUGCCCUGACAGUGUCUGUUGUACCACGAAGCAAAUAGCGAACUGGAACUUAUUUUAUUUUGUUGGCUUUUUUUG